rnacentral:rRNA from 1 species
AUUGAACGCUGGCGGCAGGCCUAACACAUGCAAGUCGAACGAGUGGCGGACGGGAGAGUAAUGUCUGGGAAACUGCCCGAUGGAGGGGGAUAACUACUGGAACCGGUAGCUAAUACCGCAUACCAUCGGAUGUGCCCAGAUGGGAUUAGCUAGUUGGUGGGGUAAUGGCUCACCUAGGCGACGAUCCCUAGCUGGGCUGAGAGGAUGACCAGCCACACGGGGACUGAGACACGGGCCAGACUCCUAAGGGAGGCAGCAGUGGGGAAUAUGGGACAAUGGGCGCAAGCCUGAUGCAGCCAUGCCGAGUGUAUGAAGUAGGCCUUCGGGUUGUAAAGUACUUUCAGCUAGGAGGCGUUACUCGCAGAAGAAGCACCGGCUAACUCCGUGCCAGCCGCCGCGGUAAUAC